UACGUAGGGUGCGAGCGUUAAUCGGAAUUACUGGGCGUAAAGCGUGCGCAGGCGGUUCGUUGUGUCGGCGGUGAAAGCCCCGGGCUCAACCUGGGAAUGGCCGUUGAAACUGGCGAACUGGAGUGUGGCAGAGGGGGGGUGGAAUUCCGCGUGUAGCAGUGAAAUGCGCAGAUAUCAGGAGGAACACCAAUGGCGAAGGCAGCACUCUGGGACGUGACUGACGCUGAGACGCGAAAGCGUGGGGAGCAAACAGG
rnacentral:rRNA from 1 species